AUGGCUGUGUGACCGGACCAUAUGGAGGGGUUACACGAUUGUGUGGCUGGGCCAUGUGAUAGACUGUGGCUGUGCGAAAAAUGCAAAAUUAAGCUUCAAGGGAGACACAGCCAUGUGGCAGGCUGUGUGAAGAGGUCUUGGCCGUGUGGUUCAAGAACUAGCCUAAGGUUUCAGGGGAGGCAUGGUCGUAUAGUUCACACGUGUGGCCCACAUGCCUGUGUGGCCCUACCCUAAGCACAAUUUUGUCCCGAUUCACUUGUAAAAGAACAUAAUCGUCUUUAGGAUCUUGACCGACGUUUCUCGCGUUCAAGUCUAGUCCGG
rnacentral:lncRNA from 1 species